rnacentral:lncRNA from 1 species
UUUUUUUUUUUUUUUUUUUUUUUUGCCAGGAUUAACAUCACAUAAGUGAUUUAUGCAGCUUGGUUAGAUUUUGGACUUAUUCUAUCAUGAAAAGAUAUCUAUUUUGCAUUGCUUUGUGAGUUUUACUAUGUGAGAUAUUUGUAAGGCCAUUACACUUCAAAGAAUCAUUUACAUCCUCUACUGACCACCAUGAUCAGUGUGCAGGGAUUAUGCAAUUGCUCAAGAUUCCCAAAAGCAACUUUAAGAAUGACUCCAACUAAAGACUGGAACUCAUCUACCAUCAUAUUUUAGAAUCCAAAAUGCAGUAAAUAUCCUCCAGAAGUUUUAAAUUACAUCUGAGGUUUGCUCCUGUGCAUGGCAUUGUGAUAAAGGCUCAUAGACACCUUACUGAUUAGCUCUGCAGCUGUGAGGUGACAAAGGAUGCCACUCCUUUCAUAAUACUCAGACUCUUCAGGACAUCAUGUCAUGCAUCAAAUUAAAAAAAGGACCUUUUAUUUCCUAUUCAUUUGAGCAGUAAGUAUUCACCCAGCAUUUCCUCUGCAAACUAAAGGUGAGCAGUAUACUAAAGCAUGUACGACAAAGAAUGGAAUUCUUUCUAAUUAUUAGAAAUGGAAUUUAAUAAAAAAAGUAUUAAACUCAUUGUACCCUGUCCAAUGAAAACAGAAACAUCAUAUUAAUAUGAGAAAAAGAUCAUACAGUAUGGAAUAUGGAAAAUGUUUGAACUAUAAUUACUUUGGUUUGCCAUUAUUCCUUACAACAGCUUUGAGAGCAUAGCUGUCGUUACAGGACUCUGACACUAAGUGAAAAAGCUCAAUCAAAACACCACAACAAACCACUGGAUUGCAGGUUUGAUAAUGUUCAAGGCAGAUCUGUCAUUUCAUCUACUCUUGGAUUUGGGCAGAUGGUAGGGUCAGGCACAGUACACUUCUACAGAAGCACUGGGAGCCCUGAAUUCAAAUUUGGGUCUAGCGUUGGUACUGCUAACUCCACAGAAAAGAUGGUUACUGUGUACAGGAAUUUCUGGAGUAAAAAAAAGACAACAAAACAACAAAACCCACGAAGAGCUUACUAAAAACCAUCAUAUGGUUUGCACAGAAAAAAUACAGAUUGAAAGCAGUGCAGACAUGUCACGGUCCCUGAAUGGAAGCAGAGUCAUCUAGUACCCUCAUAGGUAUACCUACAAUUUAGGAAGUACUGCUAUCACUGUAUAUGAGAUUAGGCAGUCUCAAAAGUAAAAACCACCACCAAAGACACAAAAGAACUAAAAAACCAAUCACUCCCCUCACUGAGAGCCAAACAAGACUCGUGGACACAUCACUGAACUACUGGCAGAUAGACACAAAUGAGCAUUUUCUUUCCCCUAUUGCCCACACUAUUUAUUUCAAAUUUCACUUCUCUGUUAAAUCCUGCAUUCAACUGCUGUGAGUUUUACAGACCUCCAGACAUGGAGAUAUUUGACAGAACAUGGGUAGAUGGAUUUCAGGAGCCUGUUUUCAGUAUCAGUAUGGAAUGUAGGUAUCUGAGCAGACCAUAUUAAACUACAAAGGAAAAAUGGGCAUUACAGUUUUGAAAUAAAAUCCUAAGUAUCUAGUUAGCCUAUCGAAGUCUUGAGUAAUAUUAAAUGCAUUUUGAGAGAGCUUAGACAGAAGUAAAAAUUUCCAUAAAACUGCUAUACAAGCUAAAGAAUAGAGUAUUAAGAUUCUAAAAGUGCAUAUUAAACCGGCCCCAACAUUAUCUCUGCAGCAAAGCAAGGAGGGUAAAACUAAAAAAAUCACUACAAUUUGUUGUUCAUCUGAGGAAGCUGUAUUAACAGAAACCCUAAUAGCAGGUGCAAGUUGCAAUAUGGUUUCCAUUCCACACUUGGAGUUUAUGCUAUCACUGGGGACUCAGCAAAUGGACUGAAGGAAUUGUGCAGCCAUACUCCUCUUCAGCUGUUACACACUAUCACACUUGUUAAAAUUAUCUGGAACACAGCAAUUGCUUGAUAAGUAAAUCAGAGCACAGCACAAAUACAAUGUUCUCUAUGAAAAAUCUCUCAUUAUGAAGAAAGCUGGAAAAAUGCAAAUAUAUUUGCUCUAUAAAGGUAACAAGCAGCAUGCAGAAAACUAAAUGCUAUUUCUGAUGUGACAUUUUGUAAUGAAAUGAUUCUGUAAGAUUAUCUGUACAGCAAAAGGUUUGUGUGUCCUAGUUACUAAGUGUAGAUAGCAUUCAUUUCUGUAGCUGUCAAAAUCCUUUCAUAGUAUUUUAAUUUGAAAAAGAACCUGACUUCACUGUGGAUAUGUUAUGAUAAAGCCUAAAAAGAAUUUAUCUGAUCAAAGAAGAAUGUAUUACCACCAAACAGAGAUUUGCUUCAAAUCUUGCAUAACAGCAAAAAUAAAUACAAUCCACUUUUGUACAAAAACAGAUAAUGGGAACAUAAGGGAAAAAAUUGAAUUUUCUUUAAUAGGAUUAUAUUUCAGAAAUGAAGAGAAAAAUGUUUAGCCAUAAAUAAGUUUUAUAAAAAAACCACCUAAGAUGCUAAUGUCUCCCUAGUAACAUCUGCUUGUCAAAGUCCUAUGCAAUCAAGUCAGCAACUAAAGACUGACAAUCUCCUGCUGUAGCAUAUUU